rnacentral:rRNA from 1 species
AGAGAUCAUGGCUCAGAAUCAACGCUGGCGGCGUGCCUCAGACAUGCAAGUCGAACGAUUAAAGCUCCCUUCGGGGAGUGCAUAAAGUGGCGCACGGGUGAGUAACACGUAAGUAAUCUGCCUUCGAGUGGGGAAUAACCCGGGGAAACCCGAGCUAAUACCGCAUAAUGCAGCGGCACCUAAUGGUGACAGUUGUUAAAGGAGCAAUCCGCUUGAAGAGGAGCUUGCGGCAGAUUAGCUUGUUGGUAAGGUAACGGCUUACCAAGGCUACGAUCUGUAUCCGGUCUAAGAGGACGGUCGGACACACUGACACUGAAUAACGGGUCAGACUCCUACGGGAGGCAGCAGUCGGGAAUUUUGGGCAAUGGGGGAAACCCUGACCCAGCAACGCCGCGUGAAGGAUGAAGUAUUUCGGUAUGUAAACUUCGAAAGAAUAGGAAGAAUUAAUGACGGUACUAUUUAUAAGGUCCGGCUAACUACGUGCCAGCAGCCGCGGUAAUACGUAGGGACCAAGCGUUGUUCGGAUUUACUGGGCGUAAAGGGCGCGUAGGCGGCGCGGUAAGUCACUUGUGAAAUCUCUGAGCUCAACUUCACAACUUCCCCAGUGAUCCUGCAGCGCUUUAGUGUGUAAAGGGGCAACCCGAAUUCUUGG